rnacentral:rRNA from 1 species
AGAGUUUGAUCCUGGCUCAGAACGAACGCUGGCGGCGUGCUUAACACAUGCAAGUCGCGUGCGCAGUUCCUGUAGCAAUACGGGGAUGGGCGCACGGCGCACGGGUGCGUAACACGUGGGCAAUCUGCCCUCCGAUGGGGAAUAACCCCGCGAAAGCGGGGCUAAUUCCGCAUAACAUUCCUUGGACCAACGUUCGAGGAUUCAAAGCAGUAAUGCGUCGGAGGAGGAGCCCGCGCCCGAUUAGCUAGUUGGUGAGGUAACGGCUCACCAAGGCAAUGAUCGGUAGCUGGUCUGAGAGGAUGGCCAGCCACACUGGAACUGAGACACGGUCCAGACUCCUACGGGAGGCAGCAGUGGGGAAUCUUGCACAAUGGGCGAAAGCCUGAUGCAGCGACGCCGCGUGGGGGAUGAAGCUUCUCGGAGUAUAAACCCCUUUCGACUGGGACGAAUGCCUCGCAAGAGGAGUGACGGUACCAGUAUAAGAAGCCCCGGCUAACUACGUGCCAGCAGCCGCGGUAAGACGUAGGGGGCCAGCGUCGUUCGGAAUUACUGGGUGUAAAGGGUUCGUAGGCGGUGUGGCAAGUUGGGAGUGAAAUCUCUGGGCUUAACCCAGAGGCUGCUUCCAAAACUGCUGUGCUUGAGUGUGAGAGAGGCGCGUGGAAUUGCAGGUGUAGCGGUGAAAUGCGUAGAUAUCUGCAGGAACACCCGUGGCGAAAGCGGCGCGCUGGAUCACUACUGACGCUGAGGAACGAAAGCUAGGGGAGCAAACAGGAUUAGAUACCCUGGUAGUCCUAGCCCUAAACGAUCAGGACUUGGGGUGCCGCCCGUUCGGGCGUCGUCCCGGAGCUAACGCGUUAAGUCCUGCACCUGGGGGAGUACGGUCGCAAGACUGAAACUCAAAGGAAUUGACGGGGGCCCGCACAAGCGGUUGGAACAUGUGGGUUCAAUUCCGACGCUACGCGAAGGAACC